UAUGUGUGUGUGUAUGUGUGUAA
rnacentral:miRNA from 1 species